rnacentral:SRP_RNA from 1 species
GCCAGGCACAGUGGCCUGUGCCUGUAGUCCCAGCUACUUGGGAGGCUGAGGCUGGAAGAUUGCUUGAGCCCAGGAGUUCUGAGCUAUAGUGCGCUAUGCCGAUCAGGUGUCCGCACUAAGUUCAGCAUUAAUAUGGUGACCUCCCAGGAGCGGGGGACCACCAGUUUGCCUAAGGAGGGGUCAACUGGCCCAGGUCGGAAAUGGAGGUCAAAACUCCCGUGCUGAUCAGUAGUGGGAUCACGCCUGCGAGUAGCCACUGCACUCCAGCCUGGGCAACAUAGGGAGACUCCGUCUCU